GGGCCGGUAGCUCAGCCUGGUUAGAGCACCGGGCUUUUAACCCGGUGGUCCCGGGUUCGAAUCCCGGCCGGCCCG
rnacentral:tRNA from 1 species